UAAGAGAAGCCAGCCGCCAUGUUGUGAGGUUGCUCAAGCAGCCCCAUGGGGAGGUCCAUGUGGAGAGGAAACGAGGCCUUUGCUACAGCUAACACCUUGCAAGUGGCUCCUCCAGUCCCAAUCCGGCCUUCAGAUGACCACUGCCCCAGCUCAUACCUUGACUGCAACUUCAUGAAAGACCUGGAGCCAGGGAACCCAAUUAAGCUGUUUCUGAAUUCCUGAUUUACAGUACUUGGGAAAGAUAAGUAUUUGUGGCUGUUUUAAGCCACUAAAUUCUGGAGUAAUUUGUUAUGUGGCACUAGAUAACAAAAAUUAAGUGUGAUACCAGAAGUGGGGUGCUGCUGGAACAUAAACCUUAAAUUAUGGGAGUGGCUUUUGAACUGGGCAGGUGGCAGAACCUGGAAGGACUCUGAAGAAAGUCUAAAGGGCAUCAGAGUCCAGUAGCAGAAGGGGGAGGCUGGUGAGGGUUUAAAGGAAGGUGAGGACAAGAUAUUGAAGACUGGAAGAAAGGGCGUUCUUUUUAUGGAAAGGCAGGAAUUUAACAACACUGCAGCAACAGGGAAAGCGGAAACUGUGCCUAACAAGUUGGAUGAUGUAACUAAAGAAAUUUCCAGGCAAGUCUUGGUAUUGAGAUCCUUUAGUAAAGAUAACUGUCUCACUUGUUACAAACACGAAAGAAUCAGGAGAGGAAGCCCUGCCCUUGGCCUCUGGGGUAUGUCCUCCUCUGGCCUCCUGGGAAUUGACUGAUUCAGAAGGUAGAGAGCUGUCAUUCUUGUGGAUUCCCAGGGUGGGUCUCAGUGAACUUGGUAGUGAAAUAGGAUCGUGUUCAUGCUCUUGCCAGAGUCUAGAGCAGAGCAGGCCCUCAACACAUUUCUAAGGGAGAGAAGGCAAGUGAACAGUACCCAGUGAAGAACUGAAUCUGUGCUCCCAUCACUGCACCCUGCCCGGUGGCCCACACGGCCACGGGAAGCUGAGUCAGACAGAGUCUUAACCGACACACACAGUCACAGUGCUCCAUGGGCCAGGGCCAGGAUGUUUGUGCCCUUCACAGGGAGGAGCCUGAUGAGGGUUUGAGUACGGAAGGCCCUUGCCAUAUUCUUCUUCCUAACGACAGAAGCCACUCACAUUCAUGUCACCUCUCCUUUCAGAUGAUGGCGUGACGGCCUGAACUUUAAAGUGAUUUACCUUUAUUUACUCUUAUGUGUGACACUUUGCCUUCACUGUUGUCACAACCAAGGCUCUCACCAGUGGUGUCCCCCGGACUUUGGACUUCCCAGCCUCAGAAACUCACUUUGGAACAUAUUCUGCUCUUUGGGGAAUUCCCUCCUACUGAGUCCCUGACUCUCCAGAGGAGCCAGAAACUCUGCUUCUCAGAAAUGAGGGUGCAGAAAUGUCAGCAGCCUCCCCAGGUAGAUGCACCAACACCAGACUUUGAUUGAGCCAGCACUCUAAGAUGAAGCAGGUUCUCAUGUGAUCUGUCCUGGUAGAAAGGCAGCAAGGUCCAGUGGCCGAGGUUCCAGGGUGGCAUCCGAAGCCGAUUUGUAGUGGCUCCACUCGGCGAUGGCAACAGCGUCUCUCCCUGGAGGUGCUUUGCAGUGGCACGUUUGGGCCAUGUUCCCACUGUAGAGUUUCUGAGCCUGGUUCUCAGCUGCUCAUGAGAUACUGGGAGCCCCCAAUAUUCUGUAAUAAAUUGUAUUUCUGCUUAAACAGGC